rnacentral:rRNA from 1 species
GAUGAACGCUAGCGGAAGGCAUAGUACAUGCAAGUCGAACGGAUGUAGCAAUACAUUAGUGGCGCACGGGUGCGUAACGCGUAUGCAACCUACCUUCAUCAGGGGGAUAACUACCCGAAAGGGUGGCUAACACCGCAUAAUACUAUUGAGUGGCAUCACUUGAUAUUUAAAUCUGAGGAGGAUGAAGAUGGGCAUGCGUCUGAUUAGCUAGUUGGUGUGGUAACGGCGCACCAAGGCGACGAUCAGUAGGGGAACUGAGAGGUUGGUCCCCCACACUGGCACUGAGAUGCGGGCCAGACUCCUACGGGAGGCAGCAGUAGGGAAUAUUGGUCAAUGGUGGGAACACUGAACCAGCCAUUCCGCGUGCAGGAAGAAGGGUCUCUGACUUGUAAACUGCUUUAGCAAGGGAAGAAAAAGCUCAUGCGUGAGAAAUUGACGGUACCUUGAGAAUAAGCACCGGCUAACUACGUGCCAGCAGCCGCCGCCGUAA